GAUGAACGCUGACAGAAUGCUUAACACAUGCAAGUCUACCAAGAAUCACUUCGGUGAGGAAUGGUGGCGGACGGGUGAGUAACGCGUAAAUAAUCUGCCCUUUAGACUGGGAUAUCCUUUGGAAACGAAGGUUAAUACCGGAUAUUAUGAGAUGGACGCAUGUUACACUUAUGAAAGCUAACUGCACUAGAGGAGGAGUUUGCGUCCCAUUAGCUAGUUGGUGAGGUAAAGGCUAACCAAGGCCACGAUGGGUAGCCGGCCUGAGAGGGUGAACGGCCAGAAGGGAACUGAGACACGGUCCUUACUCCUACGGGAGGCAGCAGUGGGGAAUAUUGGACAAUGGACCAAAAGUCUGAUCCAGCAAUUCUGUGUGCACGAUGAAGGUCUUCGGAUUGUAAAGUGCUUUCAGUAGGGAAGAAAAAAAUGACGGUACCUACAGAAGAAGCGACGGCUAAAUAUGUGCCAGCAGCCGCCGCAG
rnacentral:rRNA from 1 species